rnacentral:sRNA from 1 species
GUAACAAGGGGGUAUCGAAUAGAUGACAAAGGGGUAGGCUAUUACAUAUAGUUUUGGUUACACCUAUUCGUACGAGUUACUAAAGCAAACAUCUUCAAUAUUUAUUACUUACUUUCCUUUCUAUUUAACCGGCUAGAGUAUCUAGUCGGUUUUAUU